GAAGCCGAGUAAAAAACGGCGUAAAGUCUUGCGACCUUCCAGAGACUCAUCUAAAGAACACCCAUCAAGGGUAUAAGCUAUAUAGUUUAUAAGUUUAUAAGUUCUUUUGGCUAAACAAGUACCAUAGGUACUGGGGAAAGAAACGAAAAAAGAAAGAUGAGGAACAACUCAGUGAUAACCAUGAGGUCUGUAUAAUUAAUUGUGUUCCGAAAACCCACACGUUAAAGCGAAAUGAGGAAAAUUAAUGCAGUUGAAAACCAAAAUGAUGCAUUAGAUGCCCUUCUGCUGCAAAGCUUGACGACGGAUGAUGCCCCACUGGGGAAAGAAUCAAGUUGAAAUAAGAAUUCAUUUUUAGAUGUUGCUAGACAGAUGUACAGGCAAACUCAUCGAAAUGUAACUAAAUCAUUCCAAUCCACA